AUGCCGCCGCUGGCCGCCCUGCUCCUCCUGCUCUGGGCCGCAGCCUCCUCGGCCUCCGCCGCCAGCUUCACCUGCGCCAAACCGAGCACAUGCCGAUCCGCCGUCGCCUACGUCGUCCCCAACGCCACCACCUACGAGCAACUCGCUUCCCGCUUCAGCCCCACCGCCACCCUUCACCACCUCCUCGCCGCCAACCAACUCCCGCCCCACACCGACACCAGCCAAGCCAUUCCCGCGAAAACAGCCGUGCGCAUCCCCUUCAGGUGCCGCUGCGCCGGCGGCCUGGGCCAGUCGGACCUGGAUAUGUACACCGGCGGCCGUGGCGAUGACUACUUCAUGGAGGUCGUCACCGCCAACAACGUUGCCGCGGGCAAAUACUAUGGGCGGAGGCCGCUGCCCUGCAGCAGCGACAAGGUGGACGGCUCCCACGUGAUGCACCUUGCCUAUGUGAUCGUCCGCGCAGGCGACAAUAUCUCCCAGAUCGCCGCCAAGUAUGAGCUGCGGGAGUCAACGCUGCUCAGGAUCAAUAAUAUCACUAGCAGCCAGCUGCUGAUUCGCCAAGGCCACAUUCUUGAUAUCCCGCUAUUCCAAGGAAUGGGCACAUGGUCCAGGGUACAUUAUAACUCAGCACAUAGGAAAAGAAGAUUGCAGGGUGGAGGGGAUCCUGGGGUUACGACAUCAAAAGUAAUUAACAUUGUAAAAGUAGUUGUACCCGUUCUAAGCGUUCUUGUGUAUCUCGUUACAACAUGGUGUUACUGGAGAAGCGCACGCAAUUCCCUCUCGUCAGGGGCGAAUGGCUUUAUGGAAUUCAGUUAUAGUGAUCUAGCUUGCGCCACGAACAGAUUCUCCAGAGAUGCUCUUCUUGGAGAGGGUAUGUUCGGAGCAGUAUAUAAGGCGACGUUCAAGGGCCAGGAAGUGGCCGUGAAGAGAAUUAAAGCAGAGGGAAAGCUUGAGGAAUUCCAUCGCGAGCUCCAGACAGUUGGUAACACGAGGCACGAGAAUCUAGUUGACCUCAAAGGAUGGUGCGGCAAAGUCAGAGUGAUCGAUGGCAAGACUUGGUGGAAAAGGGUUAUCAAGGUUGAACUCUUCCUCGUCUUUGAGUUCAUAUCUAAUGGCGACCUUGAACACCACCUACACAACAACGACCAAGUUCUAUCAUGGGACAAAAGGUCUCCAUCCACUGCUCGUAACUCUCCAUCCAUUCACCGGAAUUGAGCAGGGGAUCCUGGGGUUACGACAUCAAAAGUAAUUAACAUUGUAAAAGUAGUUGUACCCGUUCUAAGCGUUCUUGUGUAUCUCGUUACAACAUGGUGUUACUGGAGAAGCGCACGCAAUUCCCUCUCGUCAGGGGCGAAUGGCUUUAUGGAAUUCAGUUAUAGUGAUCUAGCUUGCGCCACGAACAGAUUCUCCAGAGAUGCUCUUCUUGGAGAGGGUAUGUUCGGAGCAGUAUAUAAGGCGACGUUCAAGGGCCAGGAAGUGGCCGUGAAGAGAAUUAAAGCAGAGGGAAAGCUUGAGGAAUUCCAUCGCGAGCUCCAGACAGUUGGUAACACGAGGCACGAGAAUCUAGUUGACCUCAAAGGAUGGUGCGGCAAAGUCAGAGUGAUCGAUGGCAAGACUUGGUGGAAAAGGGUUAUCAAGGUUGAACUCUUCCUCGUCUUUGAGUUCAUAUCUAAUGGCGACCUUGAACACCACCUACACAACAACGACCAAGUUCUAUCAUGGGACAAAAGGUCUCCAUCCACUGCUCGUAACUCUCCAUCCAUUCACCGGAAUUGAGCAGGGGAUCCUGGGGUUACGACAUCAAAAGUAAUUAACAUUGUAAAAGUAGUUGUACCCGUUCUAAGCGUUCUUGUGUAUCUCGUUACAACAUGGUGUUACUGGAGAAGCGCACGCAAUUCCCUCUCGUCAGGGGCGAAUGGCUUUAUGGAAUUCAGUUAUAGUGAUCUAGCUUGCGCCACGAACAGAUUCUCCAGAGAUGCUCUUCUUGGAGAGGGUAUGUUCGGAGCAGUAUAUAAGGCGACGUUCAAGGGCCAGGAAGUGGCCGUGAAGAGAAUUAAAGCAGAGGGAAAGCUUGAGGAAUUCCAUCGCGAGCUCCAGACAGUUGGUAACACGAGGCACGAGAAUCUAGUUGACCUCAAAGGAUGGUGCGGCAAAGUCAGAGUGAUCGAUGGCAAGACUUGGUGGAAAAGGGUUAUCAAGGUUGAACUCUUCCUCGUCUUUGAGUUCAUAUCUAAUGGCGACCUUGAACACCACCUGCACAACAACGACCAAGUUCUAUCAUGGGACAAAAGAGCCGGGAGACGAGUUCGCUAACGAGGAGCCCGUUGAGUUUGCUUUCGAG